UACGGGGGGUGCGAAGCGUUGUCCGGAAUCACUGGGCGUAAAGGGCGCGUAGGUGGCCUGAUAAGGUGUGGUGAAAUCCCCGGGCUUAACCUGGAAUGGCAUUUGGGACUGCAAGGCUGAGUGUGGCAGAGGAGACUGGAAUUCCUGGUGUAGCAGUGAAAUGCGUAGAUAUCGGGAGACACCGGUGCGAAGGCGGCGACCUGGGUCGACACUGACGCUGAGGC
rnacentral:rRNA from 1 species